UUUUAUUUAUUUUCACUCUCUGAUUGUUGUUCCUUACCUUUUCCCUCACUUUUUUUUCUCUCCAUUUUUUUUAUUCUUUCACCAUUGUUGUCGCCACUCACUACAUCUCUUUGCUCACUUUUUUUUCUUUUUUGUUGUGCCGCUUAUUGCUCUUCCAUUUUUACCAUUAUUGUCACCUUUUUUUUAAUUAUUUUUCCCAAUUUUAGCCGCCUGUUUACUACUGUUUUCCAACCUUUUGCUGCUAUUUUUCUUCAGCCAUUUUGUUGCUACGAUUUUCUUCUCUUUGUCGCCCAUUGUAGCCUUUUCCACUCUCUUUUUGUUGUUAAUUUUUUUCAUUGUUGUUUUCUUCCCUUAUUUUUUUGGUUGUUAAAAUGAACCCCUAAUCUUGUCGUUUAAGUGUGCAUCUGAUCUCAUCUAGUUUUCUAUCUUGGAUCUAGAAUUUGGAAGAGCAUAAGUGUUGAUUUUUGUCAAGAUCUUGUGUUGUAUUUUCCUUUGAUAUUUCUUUGUUUUGGCUGAAUGUAUCUAAGGCCAUACGAUUUUUUUUCCUUUGCUAGUUUUUGAUGCUAUUAUGUCUUAGGAACCAAUUUAAACACCCCAAAUCAACAUUGACAACAGAAUUAGUUCCCAUCUUCGUUUUAUAACAAAUUAAUGAAUGACAUUAUGCAUUGCAUCAGGAUUGGGUUGAUUCGAGACAAAGCAGACUUGUAGAGUUCUAGCGGUAUAUUCACGAUUUAUUGGAGUUUUGGCAGUAAAUCUGCAAAUUUGGAGUUUUGUUCAAAUUUCUGGCAGUUUGUCCACAUAUUGUUCUAGCGAUUCAUCUACAACACUGUUCUGGUGGUUUAAUCACAAAAUUUGACUGGCAGUAUAACAGUAAUUGUUUUCCGUUACUAGUGGUUUAACCACAAUGAGCUAAGGCUCCUUCUGACAUGAUGUGUAUGGUUGGAUAUGGUGUGUAGUGGAUGGAUGUUUAGGAAAAUUACAUUGAAAUUCUUGUACAAUUAUGGGAUAUGGUAUACUCUGAUAAUAAGGUAAUUGGUGAUAUUUUUGUUUCUAA